rnacentral:snoRNA from 1 species
UGGCAAUGAGGAGAUACCUGCUGUGAUAGUUUUACAUGCUAUUCUGAGCCAGCA